AGACAUUAAUCUUAAGUAUCCAGGGAGCCCUAAAACAUUGUAUCCCACUAGCAAGGACCAUGGUAAUUGCCACGUAAAUCCCCUCCAUUAUGUGGCCCUUAUUAUGACCAGCCAGCCAAGGCUUGCCUUUAAAUCAUACCAAUUGAACCGAGCCUUGUAGAAACACUAUCACCUACGCAUACCUCUGCUUCUUUUCAUUAACCUGCUAUCCUCUUUACAAAUGGGAUUCUUCACCCACUCCCUUCUUCUAGAUUAGCAAUGCCCUGUUAAGUAAACGAACACGAAAUUCAAAGGGAAACAGGAGCAAUCAUCAUUACCAGCUGCCGUGUUAAGCAUUGCGAAAACGCUCACGAUUCACAGAAAAAUCCAUGCUGUUCUUUGAAGGCAUUCAAGCCUUAAUAGCUAGCUGGAUGAAUGUUUAACUUCUAGGCCAGGCACUACUCUGUCCCAACAAUAAGCCCUGUACAUUGGGAAAGGUGCCGAGACAUGAACUUUGGUCUUCUCUGCAAUCCAUCUGGAGCAUUCACUGACAACAUCGACUUUGAAGUUGCACUGACCUGGCCAGCCCUGCCACUUACCAGGUUGGCUCUGUAUGGCUAAGCGUUUUCUCCUAAAAUCCCUUGAAAACUGUGAGAAGACCAUAAGAAGAUCAUAUCUUUAAUUCUAUUUCACAAGUCACACAAUAUUCCAAUCAAAUACAGAUGGUUGAGAAAAGUCAUCCAUCUUCCCUCCCCACCCUCCCACAGCCCCUCAACCACUGCCCUGAAACUUAUAUGCUGUUAUCCGCAGCUCCAUCUGGAGCAUCACAGCUACUGUCAACCCUGACGCUCUUUCUGAAAAAACACCGGAUGGACAUCAGAACUAUUUCUUUAAGGAUGUUACUGAGCCACACAGGAAAACUUGCCUUAUGAUUUUGAAUGCACGGAUCUGAUUUGACUAAACAUGAUAACUAGAGAAUCACCCAAUCUACUCCCAUUUUCAACUCUAAAUCAUCAGAGUGUCUCAAAUCCAAAGCACACACAGACCAGCCUGGCCAACACGGUGAAACUCCACCCCUACUAAAAGUAUAAAAAUUAUCCAGGUGUGGUGGCGGGCGCCUGUAAUCCAAGCUACUUGGGAGUCUGGAGGCAGGAGAAUCCCUUGAACCUGGGAGAUGGAGGUUGCAGUGAGCAGAGAUCACACCACCGCACUCUAGCCUGGGCCACAAAUCAACAACAACAACAACAACAAAAAACAAAGCGCACACAGAGACUGAGGUCCUCUUUGGCAUUGAGAAGAUGGCUAUGCAAGUCCCAACUAGCAAGUGCAAACUUCCCAGCUUCACUUCUGCCAGUGUCCCUUCACCCCUUCUCAACCCCACUGGGAGGCAGGAGGGUGCUUGACAAUAACAGCCUUGGCAUCACUCUGCCAGGGUGUAAUAGGAACUGUUACAAUUCUGAGAUUCUGUGUAAGCACUGGCCUUUCUGCCUAGAAUGCCUUCUCCUCUCUUUUUUAACUGCAUGCUCCUAUUUAUCUUUCAAAGCCCGGAAAAAAUAACACUGCACACGGGAAAUGCUCCCUUCCUACUGCAGUCAUUUAGAUGACUCUAUGCCAUUCCAUUCAUUUCUCUUUCCUACCACAGAAGUGCUUUGAGAUUUUGGAGUCAGACUGCUUGAACUUGAAUCCUGGCCCUCUCAUCAGAGACUUGACUUAUUUUAGGCAAGUUAUAUAACCAAUUUUACCUCAGUUCCUUACCCAUAAAAUGGGUCUAAUGAGAGUACCUACCACACAGAAUUUUGAUGAAAACUGAAUGAGAUGAAGGCCUUUAAGGCAGUGGUCCCCAACCCUGGGGACACAGACAGGUACCAUUUUGUGGCCUGUUAGGAACUGGGCCACACAGCAGGAGGUGAGCAGUGGGUGAGUGAGAUCAGCGUUAUUUACAGCUGCUCCCCAUUGCUCACCUUACUGCCUGAGCUCCACCUCCUGUCAGAUCAGCAGUGGCAUUAAAUUCUCAUAGCAGCACAAACCCUGUCAUGAACUGCACAUGCGAGGGAUCUAGGUUGUGCGCUCCUUAUGAGAAUCUAAUGCCUAAUGACCUGUCACCGUCUCCCAUCACCCCUAGAUGGGAGUGUCUAGUUGCAGGAAACAAGCUCAGGGCUUCCACUGAUUCUACAUUAUGGCACUCAGGAAAUAUUAGUUGCAUGAACGAAGGCUGCAUUUUCAUUAGAACAACAUGCAGUUCAACCCCUUCAUGUUUCAAUGAGGGUUCAGAUACCCAGAGGGCUAUGCUAUCAUCCUGGAGCCCACUCUGCUAACAAUUAGCAGAACGGAAGCCUUAAUUUCCAGAUUCUAGUGAACUUGAUGAGUCAAGACUAUUGCAAUUGGAAAUCUGUUCUCCUCUGCUGCUGCAUUCCCUGCUUAAUACUCAAGCCAGAAACCAGGAAGGCUGUGGCUUGCCUUUUCACUUCUUGUGUCCUGUUUAAGAAAUAUCUGCUAUCCCAAGAUAACACUAACAAAGUUGACCUUAGAAUUGGAGUGCCUGGGUUAGAACCCUGCUGGUACCACCUGCUUACUGCAUGCUUCUGAUGUGAGUUCAGGAGAAGACACUGGCAAGGACAGCAAAGAACAGGAGAACACUCUAGCUUCCCUGAUAGCAUUCAAGGUGCUGUCCAAACUGACUGUGAUGGCACCCUCCAGACAGACAGCGAUGCCACAUGUUCAAGAUGGCAGAAUCACUAUCAGCUUCAAUUCCUGAAUGACUGCAGAGCAAAAUUUCUUACCUGCAACAUACACUCUAUUUUCAGCCUCCCUGGACUGUUACAUAAUGAUACAUAAAAAUAUUUCUUGUGUUGAGGCAUCCCAAAUUUGAUUUAUUUGUCAUCACAGUCUAUCCUAUGAAUAUAUUUCUGAUCCAAAUAAUGCUAGAUUCAUGAGAGUUUAUAGUCCAGAGAUUUUUUUUUUUUUUUUGAGACAGAAUCUGUCUCCCAGGCUGGGGUGCAGUGGCAUAAUCUUAGCUCACUGCAACCUCUGCCUCCCGGGCUCAAGUGAUCCUCCCUCCUUAGCCUCCAUGAGUAGCUGGGACCACAGGUGUGCACCACCACACCCCGCUAAUUAUUUUGUAUUUUUUGCAGAGGGGGGUUUCACCACAUUGCCCAAGCUGGUCUCAAACUCCUAGACUUAAGGGAUCUGCCUGCCUUGGCCUCCCAAAAUGCUGAAAUUACACUUGUUAGCCAUAGUAAUAGUUCCUAGCCAUAGUCCGGAGAUAUUUUAAAAACUUUAGUGUGAGUUAUUUCUCUUUGCUAUAAUUCUCUCAUGCAUUUUGAAAACCUUUUCUGCCAUACAGUGGUUUUUGGGAAGUCCUUUUGGACAGACAUAUCACAGGAUGGAGAAACUAAAAAGAGAGAAUGCAUUAAAGAAAAAAUAGUACUUCGUAUUUCAGAAAUUACAAAAGGGUGUCAUGCCCCACAGCAUGGUGGGCAGUCAUUUGUAACCCACAGAACAUUGAGUUUCUAAAAUUUGAGUGUUUUUAACUUACGAAGGCCAACUUUACUGAUGAAGUGAUUACCCCAAAUAUGUGAAAUCCAUAUUUCAAGUACAAUAGUAGGAAAUUGGAAAUGGGCUCUUGAGUUUCUGCUUUCAAGUGACCCUCAGAAAUUCCUCCAUUCACUGCAGAGGUUCUGUUUCUCCUUGCUUUGUUCUGACUUUACGGCAGAACUAAGCUAAUGAGUUAGUUACUAUGGGUUAUCACUUGGAUUUGAAGAACCAUCAUUUCUAGGCAUUGCUGCUCAGAGUGGGUCUGCCCUCAGGGGAAGCUGUCUAACCAGAGCCUAACCCACUAGGGUUUUAUCAGAACCUAACUGACCUGAGGAAAAGAAAUACUCAACUCCAGCAAGCUCCAGCCUUCCAAAUGGAGGAGGAGAAAACCCAACUCCAGCCCACUUCAGCUAUCUUGUCCCACAUAAAGGGGAAGUGGAAGAAACCUGAGAAGCAGGCAUGAAGUUCACAGUCCAGAGAUGACAUGAUUUUCUAUGCAAAAAAUUCAAAAUAAUCAACAACAAAAAAAUCCUGAAACUAAUAAAUGAUUAUAGCAAGAUUUCAGGAUAUGAGAUUUAUAUACAAAGGUCAAUUACUUUCAUAUAUACAAGCAAUGAACAAGAGGGAUUUGAAAUUAAAAACGAAACUAUUUACAUUAGUACCCCCAAAAUGAAAUCCUUAUGUAUAAACUUAACAAAAUAUGUACAAGAUACAUAUGAGAAAAA
rnacentral:lncRNA from 1 species